rnacentral:rRNA from 1 species
UUGGGGGCCUUUCGGGCGGGCCCGCGGGGUUUUUUUUGGGGGCCUUUUUUAGGGUUUUUAAAAACACUCAGGAUGAACGCUAGCGGCAGGCCUAACACAUGCAAGUCGAGGGGUAGAAGAAGCUUGCUUUUUUGAGACCGGCGCACGGGUGAGUAACGCGUAUGCAACCUACCUUAUACAGGGGAAUAGCCCGAAGAAAUUCGGAUUAAUGCUCCAUGGUUUAUCGAUAUGGCAUCGUAUUGAUAAUAAAGAUUUAUCGGUAUAAGAUGGGCAUGCGUAUCAUUAGCUAGUUGGUGUGGUAACGGCAUACCAAGGCAACGAUGAUUAGGGGUCCUGAGAGGGAGAUCCCCCACACUGGUACUGAGACACGGACCAGACUCCUACGGGAGGCAGCAGUGAGGAAUAUUGGUCAAUGGAGGCAACUCUGAACCAGCCAUGCCGCGUGCAGGAUGACGGUCCUAUGGAUUGUAAACUGCUUUUGUACAGGAAGAAACCUCCCUACGAGUAGGGACUUGACGGUACUGUAAGAAUAAGGAUCGGCUAACUCCGUGCCAGCAGCCGCGGUAAUACGGAGGAUCCGAGCGUUAUCCGGAAUUAUUGGGUUUAAAGGGUUCGUAGGCGGCUUUGUAAGUCAGUGGUGAAAUUUCCUAGCUUAACUAGGACACUGCCAUUGAUACUGCAGAGCUUGAAUAAUAUGGAAGUAACUAGAAUAUGUAGUGUAGCGGUGAAAUGCUUAGAUAUUACAUGGAAUACCAAUUGCGAAGGCAGGUUACUACGUAUUUAUUGACGCUGAUGAACGAAAGCGUGGGGAGCGAACAGGAUUAGAUACCCUGGUAGUCCACGCCGUAAACGAUGGAUACUAGCUGUUCGCUUUUCGGACUGAGUGGCUAAGCGAAAGUGAUAAGUUCCCACAUGGAGACUCAGGG